UAGGGAAUCUUCGGCAAUGGGGGGAACCCUGACCGAGCAACGCCGCGUGAGCGAAGAAGGCCUUCGGGUCGUAAAGCUCUUUUAUGAGGGAAGAUAAUGACGGUACCCUGUGAGGAAGCCCCGGCUAACUACGUGCCAGCAGCCGCGGUAAUACGUAGGGGGCUAGCGUUAUCCGGAUUUACUGGGCGUAAAGGGUGCGUAGGUGGUCUUUCAAGUCGGUGGUUAAAGGCUACGGCUCAACCGUAGUUAGCCUCCGAAACUGGAAGACUUGAGUGCAGGAGAGGAAAGUGGAAUUCCCAGUGUAGCGGUGAAAUGCGUAGAUAUUGGGAGGAACACCAGUAGCGAAGGCGGCUUUCUGGACUGCAACUGACACUGAGGCACGAAAGCGUGGGUAGCAAACAGG
rnacentral:rRNA from 1 species